GAAAUGCGAUAAGUAAUGUGAAUUGCAGAAUUCAGUGAAUCAUCGAAUCUUUGAACGCACAUUGCGCCCCUUGGUAUUCCGAGGGGCAUGCCUGUUCGAGCGUCAUUAUAACCACUCAAGCCUAGCUUGGUAUUGGGGUUCGCGUGCUCGCGGCCCUUAAAAUCAGUGGCGGUGCCGUCUGGCUCUAAGCGUAGUAAUUCUCUCGCUAUAGAGUCCCGGCGGUUACCUGCCAGAACCCCCCACUUUUUUAAGGUUGACCUCGGAUCAGGUAGGGAUACCCGCUGAACUUAA
rnacentral:misc_RNA from 1 species